ensembl:lncRNA
GGGGGGGGGGGGGGGGGGGGGGGGGGGGGGGGGGGGGGGGGGGGGGGGGGGGGGGGGGGGGGGGGGGGGGGGGGGGGGGGGGGGGGGGGGGCAGGGCCGGGCAGGGCCGGGCCCGGGCGGGGAGGGACGGCAAAGAGAGGCUGUGCCUCAGCAGGGCCGGGCAGGGCCGGGCCCGGUGCCUGCAGCGCUCCCGAGCGCCGAGCGGCAGCGGCAGGGAGCCUGGCAGAGGCAGCUCUGGCUGGGCUGUGGCGGCAGCAGCGGCCUCCUCCUCCAAAGCCGAGAGCGAGCGAGAGAGAGCAGCUGCCCCGCUGGCCUUUCACUGCUUCUAAUCUCACCGUGUCUCUGCCCCUCCCUCCGAGAGAAACCCCAAAAACCAGAGGGGUUCCUCCUCCCCUGUCUCAAGUACUUUGCCAUCAGUACUUUAGCAGCUCAAUGGGAAAAAUUCCUCAGGCAAUGAGUACAAGAAAAACCAACCCCCAACAAAGGUGUCAAUCACAUUGUAGUAAUCAUAAUUAUUUUUUUAAAAUUAAUCUAUUUACACAGAGUGUUUGCUGAUAUCUGAAUCUUUCCUUAGAAAAAUCUGCCAAAGAUUUUUUAGGUUUUUGUCUCCAAAUAUUCCACCAAUCUCUUGCUUAAUAGUUUUUCUUACUGCUGUUUUCCUGAAAAAAAAAAUAAAAAAUUACUUCCCAGCGUCUGUUGUGACUUCAGGAUGUGGUAUAUAAGGAAUGAAAUGCUUAAAAGUAAUCAUAAGAGAAAAAAACUUUAUUUUGAAAGAAAACAAAUGUUUUUGAUAGUAAGUUGAGUAAAUUCCUGAACUUGUUAUAAAUUGUACAUAUUAUUUCUGACAGCCUUUUAAAAACCUUUAAAAUUAUCGUCAUAUUGUGUUACUACAUUCCUGCCUGUAGUAUAAAUUGAUGUGCACCUACUUCCCAGAUGCCAUAGAACGGCAGAAUAAUUUAAAUUGGAAAAGAUCUCAGAGGGUCUAUCUGGUCCUGCUUCUUGCUCUGAGCAGGGCCAUCCUUAAUGUUAUAUCAGGCUGCAAAAUGGCUUAUGCAUAUUGAGGUUCUAGCAUCUCCAGUGAUGGAAGUCUCUCUGGGAAACCUGUUUCAAUAUUUGAUCACUGUCCUCAUUGUGAGGUUUUUGUAUUUUUCAGUAUCAAACUGGCAUUUCUCUUAAUGCAAAUUGUCCUUUGGCUAUGUACCAUGAAAGAGUUUGGCUUCCUGUAACCAAUUUACAUUCAGCUCCCUUAAUUAGAAAACUGAUGUAGAAGAAUUCGGAAAGACAAAAUAGUAAUGCUCAGAUAUGUGGAGGACCUUCUGUAGAAUUAGUGAAUAAGUAGAUUGGGCUUCACAGAUUUGAGAAGUGCAGUGAAGGGGAAUGUAAUAAAGAUGUGUUCAGUGUGUUGGGUGUGGGGAUACACGAGGGAAAUGAAUAAGGAAUAAUGAUUGUUCUCUGUCUUUGCAGGAGCAAAAAGUAGGGCUCAUCAAAUAACCACAAUAGGCAAGUGGUUCAAAACAAGCACACAAACACGUUCUUCAAAAACGUGCAAUUAAAUUGUGCAACUGGUUAUUACAGUAGGGCAUUGUAAUAGGUUAUAGAGAUUCAGAAGACAGCUGAAAAAUGUGGAAGAAAAAUUCUUCCAUGACUGUUGCUUGUAGAAACAUGACAUCUUAACUAAUAGUGCUGAUCUUGCACUACAGAUCCUCAGAGGACAAAGACAUACUCUGAAGAAUUG